CUUGAUCAAAAUAUGAGAGGUCCAGCCUGCCCAGUGACCUAGUUCAACGGCCACGGUAUCCUGACCGUGCGAAGGUAGCGUAAUCACUUGUUCUUUAAAUGGGGACUAGUAUGAAUGGCAUCACGAGGGUUAAACUGUCUCCUUUUUCUAAUCAGUGAAAUUAAUCUCCCCGUGAAGAAGCGAGGAUAACUUUAUAAGACGAGAAGACCCUAUGGAGCUUAAAACGAAUUUGCACCUGCUUUUUAUUUAUUUCACUUCCCGAAUUUGCACAAACAUUAUAGCACAAUUGACAUGUAGUUUUCGAUUGGGGUGAUCCUGGGGUAAAAAAUAACCCCCAGGACGACAAAGGGCCACCCUUGAGCCAAAAGCCACAACUUUAAGCACUAAAAAAUUAACGCAACUUGACCCAAUUAUUUGAGCAACGAAC
rnacentral:rRNA from 2 species